rnacentral:rRNA from 1 species
UACGGAGGGUGCGAGCGUUGUCCGGAAUCAUUGGGCGUAAAGGGCGCGUAGGUGGCCACUUCAAGCGUGCGGUGAAAGUCGGGGGCUCAACCCCUGAUCGGCCGUGCGAACUGGGGGGCUGGAGCACUGUAGAGGCAGGCGGAAUUCCGGGUGUAGCGGUGGAAUGCGUAGAGAGUCCGGAAGAACACCGGUGGCGAAGGCGGCCUGCUGGGCAGUUUUGCUGACACUGAGGCGCGACAGCGUGGGGAGCAAACAGG